GGGGGUGUCCUAGAUUCGACAGAGAAUCUUGAGGUUUAGUGUGCGUGUCUGGGUUGAUCUCUUGGCCCAGUAAAAAAGAGAUCACACUUAAUUGCAGACAACACUGUUGCACUAGCUGCCUAAUCUUAGCGUAGCUUGAGGUGCCAGUACCGAGAAACAGAAUCUGGCAAACAAGUUUUACAAUUUUCUUGUAAAAGAAAUUGACAGGAUCAUCCGGGAAUCACCUGUAAAAAGACCCGGUGUUUGUCGGAUAGAAUAAUCCGAAUAACCCGUCGUUCGGUGACUUAAGAACGACUACGCACGUAGUACGCUCUUCCAAAAGUUCUUUGGACGUGGGUGCAAUUCCCACCACCUCCACCA
rnacentral:tmRNA from 1 species